UCCGCCCACUGGCUUCAAGGUGGGAGCCAUUUUCCAGGACGCAGCCUUGAAUACAGUGUUGUUGAGACUCCGGAGAACCCAGUUAAGGCCUCCAAAUAAACUUUUAAGAUUCUGGCAGAGGUGGGCGUGGAAAUUCACUCAUCCUAUGAGGCCCACAACAAACAUACGCCUGAAUCUUCCCUGACUUCAUGAAGGAAUCAGUGAUGGCCAAGAGGAACACUAGCAGAGUAGCCAGGACAAGCGGGCGAUGAAACGGGCUGAUUGUAUUCAUGACUGUGGUCGUGACUGAGAGCUGCAGGCUCAUAUGUUGCCUGGAAGACCACCUGCUAAGUGUGAAGAUGGAUUAUGAACCAGGCAACCAGAGUGAUGGAGGGCUGAGUGUUAAUGAGAAGAUGGAUGACUGUAUUUUUCCUUGGCAUGCAGUGGUUUCAGAGAGAGCUCUUUACUGCCGUCCCAUGGAGAAUCAAUGAAUGGCUGUGGCUGUGAGUUAGGAGGCACUGCUAGCUCUCCCACUAAGCAGGAGUUGGGUUCAUCUCUAGCUAUGCUAGAGGGUUAGAAAAAUUAGAUGAAUGAGCCAGGGGAGACCUCUUCCCUGCACACUUCCGCAUCAUGAAUGAUCGUCACAAUUGACAGGGAUUGUGGAGACUGCAUUUAGCUCCAGGAGCUAGAAACAUAAAUUAAACAGACCCUGCCCUCAAGGGACUUCAAGUCUAAUAGGAGAGGUGGACAAAUGCCUAUCGUUUAUACUCAUGGAAAGCCAGGAAAAAAAGGAAGAAGAAGAAGAAGAGAAAGAAGUAAGUGCCAUAUGACAGGAAUGUGAGUAUUUAUCGUAGGGUCUCUUGGGAGGGGAAACUGACUUAAAGACUGUUUCUUCUUUGCAGAAAGAAUUAGUGCAGAAUGAGGCAGCUUUUUACUUGGAAGCUAUUUUUCUGUGAUGGAGUUUAAUCUCCCCUGAAUUUGGGGGAACACAGGCAUUUUCAGUUGCUACUUCUGCAUCUUUUCUAUCUUGUUAGGGCAGAGGCUUCUAUGAACUGAAGGGGCCUCUCACCCACCCGUUUGGUAACAAACCUAAGCCUGCCUUGCCAGCCUAAUUAUUAGCAAAUUGCUCUAGCUAGAUCAAUGGGCAUGCUUUCAAGUCUAAUAAGAAUGAAAAAAAAAAGUGUUCAAAGCUGAGAUAUUUUUAGUCCUACAGAGAGAUUGAUUUUCUAUGAGAUUCUGAAUUACCUUAAAAACUUCUUUUAAAUUCUUACUGACAUUUCUGGUUUGAGAUUCAUGAUGAUGAAAAGAAUGUUUACUCGGAUACUCCUCCUUCUCUAGCUAGUUUCUCAUUUCUCUGGGUUGGGAAUUCAUUCAUGCUUUCUCAGUAAAUGUAACAUCCUGAUGGUAUCAGCUUCUGCUGUGUUUAAAAUAAAAAGGUAACUCAGAUGCUUAAAAUAAAAAAAAUUAUUUAUCAUGAUUCUGUAGGCUAUCUAAAUGUUCUGGGUUAUGAUGGAUCAGCUGGGGCUAGCAUGGUGCAUUCUCAUGUUUGGAAACCCAGCGGAGAAAGCUGUGAGGGCUAGGAUCUCUCCAUGUAGCUUCUCAUUAUUUGGAUAUCUCCAGAAGAGUCCCAGAAGCAAGCAAGGAAGGAUAGGCCCCGGUGUAUACUCUUGAAAUUUCUGCUUCUGGCAAGCUGACUCAUGUCCCAUCAACUAAAGUAAGUCUUGAGACCAAGCUCAGAUUGUAGAGUUGAAGAAAAAGACUGCAUUUCUUGAUAGAAAAGAUGGCAAAGUCACAUUGCAAAAGGCAGUGUGUAGGAGUGCUAGGCAGUGUGUAGUGUGACUCUAAUUGCUACACGUUGCUACACCAGUUUAUCCCUGAGAGGUUAGCAGCAGGUGAAAUCCCAAGAGGAAGUCAUUUGGGCAUAAACAGCCUAUAGUAGACCUUAAGGAGCUCCACCUGUGCAUGGGCUUCCCUGCCUCUGGCGCUUGUUGCAAGCUUCAUCCUCCUGCAAGUCCUUCCGUCUUCGAGGUUUUGGAAACCACACUAAACUACAUGUUGACAGAGGCACUCGUCGCCAAGAGGGAGGCUCUAAAAUGGGAGUGGAGCUUGUUAAAGAAGAAAAAAUGGCACUGGACAAGAUGAGCAGACAGAAGUUGAUUUUAUUUCCAUACUAUUGCCAGCAAUAGGGCAGAGAGCCCAGAACAAGUCUGGAUACUUAGCUUCAUGGAAACAAAAGGCGGAGGGUUUUUAACUCUGAGAGUGAGCUAGUGGAAAAGUACUGGAGGAUGUUAGGAGAGGAGGUUGGUCAAUGGAUGUGUUGAGCACAUUUAGCUAUUCCCGAAUUUGCAAAUGCUUGUUUUCUGGGAUUAUGCCACUGGUGUUUGUUAACUGGCACCGUGGAAGUUAGACUCCUAUUCUCUACAGAGACUGGGAGAUAUGGGUGCUAUCUUCUCCAAUGUUUACAUUUCAAAAAUGAUUCCUAAGUCCUUGAGAAAAACAUUUCCUAAACUGUAACACUGGCAAAGGCUGGGAGAUUUAGAUAUAUUUCAAAGGGGCAGAGAAAGAGUUUACAAUGGCAAGUUUUCUAAAAUAUGCUCUCUAAGAAAAUGGAGGUCAGGGGCCUAGACUCAGAAAUAAGCCUAUUUAAAGUAUAGUCAAGCUCGGGGCAUCAUGAAGACCAUCUUGAUCAUACUCUCCAGGAGCAAAACAACCUAUUGCUUAACUUUGCACGGGGCUGCCUAGCACUAAAUAUCAUCCUUGCCAAUAACUGUCUGAGAAAAUAGAACAUUAAAAAUAUCUUUUUAAUGUUUAUUUAUUUUGAGAUGGAGAGCAUGUGUCCACAUGUGAACAAGUGGGGGCGGGCAGAGAGAGAGGGAGAGAGAGAAUCCCACGGAGCACAAUGCAGGGCUCAAUCACAAAUCAUGAGAUCAUGACCUGAGCAAAGGCUAAGAGUCAUAUGUUUAAUUGACUAAGCCACCCAGGAGCCUGAGAAUAAAACUUUUUAACCAAUUUCACAGUUUAAUAAAUGUUCAGAAAGUUUUUAAGGAAUUUUAGGAAAAAUCUAGUUUGUAUGUAUAAUUCUUUUGUCUUCUAUGUUAUUUUCUAAUGAGUAGUUGACAUCAUUGUUCUUUCUCUGUCAGUAUCUCUCACCUGAGUGUCCCUCUGGGUCCCUGCUAUGGGGCUCUGACAUAGUCAUGCAUCUAUAGUGGUAUCAUUUACUGAAAUCUCCAUUAAAGGCCAGGUAGCAGUUAGGCCUUCUAUAGAAGAAAGGAGACCUAGACAUGUUAAAUGACUUGCCCUAAGUUUCAUAGAUCAGUACAACAAAGAUGGGUUUUGGACCAAACUGCAUCUGACUGAAAUACCUAGGCUGUAAGCACUCCACAGACAAGCCAAUCUCAGAGGUAAAGCUGGUCCUGGAUUACUUUGCGAUGUCUUAAAUGUUCUUUAACUUCCUGUUUAUUUCUCAUUUUUCCCACAUUACGGCAUCUGUACUUCAAAAACAAUUACCUUUGUCCCAGCUGGCCCUCUGGCUUAUUAAAACCAAUUGUCAGGGAAAGUCUUGAUGUCUACCUUGCAAAGGCAUUGGAUUAAGCUAUCCUUUUAAUUGGGAAGUGAAAUGUUGAUAUCCUGUGUAGGAAAUUUUAAUCACCAGUCCAGUGGGUGAGGGAAGCUUUGUUUUUGUUUGCUUUGUUUUUGUUUUUACUAGUGGAAUGAGGAGACUGACCCUAUCUCAGAUGCCUGAAGACAGACCUCAGCAUAUCUAGCAAUGUAUAAAUGUUAGCCUUAAUAAUCUGGGACAAGAACUUUGUUUGGAAACCUUCUCAUGCUCUGAGAGGCUGCAUUUCUAUCAGUAGAAGAAUAUCACUUUUUUGGACUUGCUUGAAGUGAGGAGAUUUCUUAAUUUUCUCAAGAGUAAAAUGAAUGUCUCAAGAGUACUGUUUUCUUCUGGUAGAAGCUGAUAUCUGCUCUAGUCUUAAUGCUGUUAGUAACAGGGCUAUUUUUAAAACCAUUCCUGAAAAAUAAUGAGCCACCUGAACAGAAACUCUCAUAGAACAUUCCUUCUUUCUCUUGGAAAUUCUAUUUUGGGUCAUUCCUGUUUGGAACAUACUACACAAUUAAUGGCUUUCUAGUUCCUGUGAGUAGUGGAAAGAUUGAUCAGUGAACAAUGGAUGUAAAUAUGACACUCGCCUAUUUCAGGAAUGGUGAAGCUCAGUUUUAAUUUGAUAGGACAGGGAGGGAAACGAGGUCUUCUCUGUUUGGAUGCCCCCAUAUUUUAUUUCUAAAAUAAAUAACCUGUAAAUAAUUGGCCUAGAAAUAGUAUAAUAAAAUGGCUCAGUUUUAUACGUGGUGAUGUGUAGGAAGCAGUAUAGAACUGGUGACUUUUUUCUAGUUUUUGGCAAAGCCUGUGGAGGCAUCUCUGCCCAGGAGGUGGAGAAGUUGGUUCUGCCCCAAUUAUCCCAGUUGGCAAGUCUGGCCCAUAGAGAGUGGCCAGAUAAUGAAUGUGGACAUUCCUCUUCUUGCUCAGAUUGGGAAACCUGCUUUUCAAUACCUUGUGGAAGGCAGAGGGUCGCUGACUCACUGCCACUUUGGACUCCCUGUUACCAGGAGUGUAACCCCAAAUCAAAGACCCCAGCAUAAGCACUGUCAAUCUGACAUCUUCCCGGAUUUAAAAAAAGAAAACAAAGACAAAAAAGAAUAUCCCUAUUUGUAAAGAUUCUGGUUGUAAUGAGCUGCAAAUCAUUGGAGAGGUUUCCUUUGGGAACCUCAGAAGACAGAAAAGUUGCUCAGAAGAUGCUAUUUUUAGAGUUCCAAAUAGGCUUAUCUCAGCCAACAUCUAGGCUGCAGUAACAGAAUUGUGAUUAGAAAUGCUCCAGAGGAGGGAAAAAAUGACAUUCACUCAUCUUUGGACACUUUAGUAGAACUCAAAUUCUGUGUCUUGCAAGCUGCUGGGUCCUUUCUAAAUGGCCUUUGUGAGGGUAUCACCAGGCAAAGGGAAAUGAGGCAGGCCCUCGUAAGUCAUUAUUUCUGGAAAAUGUCUGUUCACGUAAUCCUGUUUGGUCAAGGUACAUAUCUCAGACUCACAGAACUCCAUGGCAGGCAGGGCAAUAAGGCGUUAACUCUUGGACAGGAGAUUUGCUUCAUACUUGAUUUCUUCAAAAUAGUGACUUAUAGGGAGAUGUUGCUGUGUCCAGUAUGAAUUAACUCUCGCUUUGGGUAUGUGGAGGUAUGGAAAGUGGUAUGAAAUUGUGCUCCAGAAAACCCCAGGCAUACAGGCUGGGGCUAAGUAUGUGACUUGAAGAGCAAUGUAUCCUUCUUAUUAAGUUAGGAGAACCUCCCCAAGUCCCCAGCUUAAUUGGUUUGUUGUUAUAUAGACCACCAUAACAACAGGGGAGGGAGUUUCCCAGAAGAACCAAAUAUUUAACCUGCCAGCACAUUUGUUUUACAUUAGCUACUAACAUUUUUUUCCCCCAUCUUACACAAUCCAUCUGAGUGAAGGAAAUAACACUGUAAUUGAUGGGCUCAAAAUUGUAAUCAGGUCAAUAAACUACCAGAUUUACAGGUACUGUAUGUCAAACAGCCACAUGCUAGGUAGAUGGAGGGAGGGGAAACUUGUGUUUUUACUAACUACACAUGCUAUUUGAUGGUACGAAGAAGCAACCGCUGUAACCUGUUUUUCAUUGCCCUUUAUUGCAUAUAGUUUAAUGUGUAUGUCUUUUGCAUUAAUAGACAAAGAUACCUGACUGUAUGUGGGCAGUUUAUAGUAGGGAUUAGAGGUAAAGUCUAAAGCAUGGGAUGUUAACUAGGUGUAUGACCUAAAGGAAAAGGAAGCUCAGGAAGGAAAGAGUUCAGUUAGUUCAGUUUCAAGUUAAAGGAGAAAUCAUUUCUGAGGCAAUGGCUGGUUGUAGCUGGCAUCUCUUUGCUGGGAUCUGUACAAUAAGAAAAAACAGAUGUGAAGAAGGAUAAGGCUUCCUUCUGACCCCUGUCCUCCUGCCACACAUGUAUACAUCCCCUGAUGUGCAACUCCGGUGUUUCUACAAUGGUAGAGAUGAUACACCUCCUUAUCUAACAUAAUAUUUAACCAAAGAAAUGAUAUUAUUUUGUAAGAGCAAUUUUGUAAGCUAUAGGCUACAUGAGUCCCCAUGAUCCCACUCUAUUUUCUAUCAAAGUAGGUAUCUUUGGGAAAAAUAUACUAAGAAAAUUGUGUUUUACAUUUCUAUGCAGACUUCUUAGUGACAGUUAAUUUUACCCAUGUGACUUAUUUGGUGAGUAUUUUUUAUAUACAUACAGUCUCAAAAUGUGCUGGAUUUAGCAUGGCUGAGAUAAUAUGACCUUCAUCUCAAAAAAAUAGAUUUUCAUCAUGCAAAGCACUCUGUUGGUAUUGAUAUUUUUUAAAUCAUGUUGAUUACUUCAAGGACUCUGUAUACGCUCUCUUUCAGAUAACUUUUUGUUUCUCUAACAGGAGGCUUAUCUGUACUUUAUAUCCAUCUGUCAGAUUUGCCUCCCCCAGUUCUUAGAAACAGGGGUCCUCUCCUUGUAUCCCAGCUUACUUCUUCAUCUGUUCCCUUAAUUCCAAUCUCCUUCCUCAUCCAGACAGGUAUGGUUCCAUUUACCAACAUUUCUCUCUCCUACAUCAGUAAUUUAUCUUCUAUGCUGGCUCUUUUUUCCUCACUUUUUAAGAAAUUCAAGUGUUUUCCAUUUUCAAACUGCCCUGAUUGACACUGUGUCUUCUAUCUGACGUAGACUCUCAACUCUUGUCUCAUGUGAAUGUCUUCUACUCUAUCCUUACUCUUCUUUUUCUAUAAUAUUAACUGUAUUCCAUUCCUUCAUUUGCUGUUCAUUCAUCAAUUUACUGUGAUUUGCUUUCAAUCUCCCACAUUUUGGAAACUGGUCUUAGAGACUUUUAUUAUCUAAUUGUCAGUGGCGGUGAACAUGUUCCAAUUUGCAGCUUACAGGCUUCUCUUGUGAAUACUUGGCUUGUCUGUGCUUGGUGUUGGUGACACCAUCUCCCAGUUGGCCUCCCUGUCUGUGACCAUUUAUGCUCUUCCUCAUUGUUGAAGUGUUGGUGAACCCCAGGUUCUGAAUUUUGCCCACUGUCCUUUUUCUUUCACAUACUCUCUUCCAGUGGUUCCCUUGAACUCCAGCUCUUCUCUUAUUGCCUUCUAGUUUGUAUGUGAGGUUAUGUCUUUCUUCAGUUUUCUCCAGGUAAGCUUGUUGGACAUUUGGGACAUUCAGAUGUUCCAAACACUCGUCAAACUCAUUACAUUUCAAAUUAAAUUUAUCAGUUCCCCCCACCACUAAAAUUUAGACUCACUCUCCCCCCCAAGAUUUUUUUCAGAAAUUCAAAAGUACCAAAAUUUAUAAAGAAUAAUUUCAUAAUUGCUACUGUACCUGAGUGACAGAAAGAUACAGUAUGGGACCUGGUUCGGGGACAGGACAGUGUUACUCUGCUUUCAGCUUUAUGUAAGAGGGCCAGAUCUGGUUUUCUACUCUACCAAGGUAGGUAUAGUAGAUACUAACACCCUAGGCUCUGGAUAGAUACUAAAACCCUAC